rnacentral:rRNA from 1 species
AUGGAAAGUGUUCAAUUAGAACAUGAAAACACGACUCAAUUAAUCUCAGUUUGUCUUCGGGGUGGAGUGGAAGAAGGGCGGAGACCCUCGAACGAGGAAAAUGAUCCCUUCGAAAGAAUUGACUGAGGAGGCAUAUGA